AAUGAAUAAAACUUGUAUGAUUUUUUUCCUGUUAAUCUUUCUCAUGUACGUUUAAUUCUUAGGUCCACCUGAAGACCUCUUAAAAGAGGAGAAGAGAACUUAUUCUUUCCCCAGCACUAGACAGAAUGUCAGACAUCUGGAUGAGUGUGGCUUCAGGUGGUGUGUGCAGGAACUGAUGAAGUGGCUAUAAUAUCGCUUGUGAUUGUUGGGAAGCCUAAGAUUUAUGAGAGUCCACACUGAAGAGGUGAACCAGGUUGGAUCCAAGCUUGAUACAAAGAAAGUAAAACACAGCAAGUUGCUCACUGUGCCCAAGGAUGUCCUCUCUAUCCCAGGCUGGCUGGGCCACCCCCCCCCCCCCGCGGUAAUGCUUGCUUCUCAGCAAGGGCUUGUCCUGGAGCUAGGGAAGACCCUGAGCAAAUCAGUGCACUAUUUCUGGAUGUCAGGUGAGUUCCAUGACUCACACUCUUCAACCAAAGCCCAUUAAUCAAGUCUGAUGACUCAAUAUUCUUUUGACACAAACAUGCCAAGUGCAAUGUGAUCCCUCACAAACAUUUCUACUUCCCAUAUGCCAGGGUAGUAACCUCUGGGGAAGAGAGGAGAAUUAAACCUUUCUCUAAACAAAGGCAUUAUCCUUUGGUAAAAUCAAAGACAGAAGCUAGGAUCCAAGUGUCUUCUGUGCUGGAGAUGCCAAUCAUUUCCUCCCUGUCUCCAAACUUUGCCUAGAACCUUGCCUGAAGAUCCUGCCUGCUCACACUACAGCAGCAGAGGCACCAUGGCCCUAGAGACCUAUCUCAAAGGGAGCAGCUGAUCAGUCCGUGAGGACCCUAGCUUUACACAGAGGAAUAGGCAACCACACUCAGCCCAAGGUCACAAAGACCCAGAAGUAAGAGCUAUUGACAUAGGGAACCAGUUUGACCUGCUCUCCAGAGACCCCCUAAAGAAUCCAGAGCAGCAUCAAGUGAUCCCACUGUUCCAGGGACAGAUGAUGACAGAGCAUAUUACUUACAUUCCUGUGAUGAGGACAAAAUACCCAACACGCAGCACUGAAAAGAGGUGAGGUUUAUUUUGGCCCAUGGUUUUAAUCCUUGGAGCCUAACUGGCUCCAAAGCAAAAACAGCAUGGGAGAAGGGCAUGGUGGAGGAAAGCUGCUCAACCCAUGGUGGCAGCCAGGAAGAGUGCACGUGAAUGCGUGCGCGCACACAUACACACCACACACACACAGAGAGACAGAGAGACAGAGAAUAUGAAAGAGAAACAGAGAGAAACCAGGGAUAAGAAUACAUCAUUCUAGGUCAUGCUCACAGUGACUCACCUCUUCCAACCAGGCCCCACCUCCUAACAGCACAUUCAGCUAUUAACUCAAUUAAUCCACUGAUGAGUAUAGCACCCUCACAUCCAAUCACAUUCUGAAAGAGGCCCCACCUCUGACACAUGAGGCCUUUGGUGGAUAUUUCAAAUCCAAACGGUAACACAGAUGCUUUCCUGUUGUCUGGAUGAGUCUAGCUGUUCUUUCCUCUCUGGUCCUGAAAAAUGCCCCUGGACCCUUAGAUAAAUUACUCUUCACUUUUGUAAGCUUGAGGGGUUUGUAUGUCUUGCAACCAAACACUCUUAAUUAAGAAGCCUACUGUGCACAAUACUAGGUGGUAUCAGGGAGGCAAGAGUGUUUGACAUCAGUAGGUACUUUGUCCUUUUUCUUCCCAUGUCUUCUAUUUCCCCAUACAUACUUGCAUCCGCAUUUAUUUAAUGUCCUCUUUCACUUAUCAGGUCACGUAAGAACUUAAUUAUUGCCCUCUUGUUUUUGACACUGGUGAUCAAACCCAGGGGCUCUCUACCACUGUAUUACAUCCUCAUCCCCUUUAAAAAAAUUUUUUUUGAAGGCAAGGUCUCACAAAGCAGUUCAGGUGGAACUUGAACUUGCAAUCCUUCUGCCUCAGCCUCCCAAGAUGCUGGGAUUAUAGGUAGAUUCUUGUUCACUCGAAGUUGGUAAGACUCUAGAGUUGUUCAAGCUUCAUGUGCCACCCAAGUUGAAGGUGAUGUGAGGGUUCAGAAAGUAGGAAUCCAGAGGAAGAGACACAAGUGAGGCUCUUGGAGAAACUGAGCAGUGUUCAGCAACUGAAAGUACUGGCGAUUGAAAAAGAAAUAAAAUAUGGGAAAGAAUCUUCCUGUGCUUCCAGGAGGCCUGGCCUGGAAAGGCCCUGGGAGGGUGUGGUUGGCCUGAGGAAUAUUGAGAAGUGUAUUUUCCUUCCUUUCAAGGAAAUUUUCCUCUUAAAAAACAAACAGCAAUUUCUAAACUUAGGAAUUGAACAAAAGAAAUAUAUUUUCUCUAGGAGCAAAAUUUGCACUAUUGGAAAAGAAAUCGAAUAUGGGAAAGAAUCUUCCCGUAGUUGCCUCAGUAAUGAUUUUCUUUAGUUCACAUAAAGACACAUUUAGUGAAUCCAUUCAGGCUGGCUCAGGUUACGAUGACUGAAACAUAUUAAGCAUUUUUGGGGGGUGGGAAGAGAGGCAGAGAGAGGAGAGGAGGGCGAAGGAGAAAGAAAUAGCUCCAAAUUAGGCACUAGCCUGUUGGGGAUUUGAAAGCUCAUCAAUAAAAUAAAAACUUUUAAAAAACAGCUUUGUGAUGGUCAGCUUUAAAUAUUAAUUAGCCUUUGUUAUUUUCCCUUAGCAAGCUGAGAUUAGUAUUUGUAUUUUAUAUAUGGUUUGGAGGACUGUCACAUUUAAAGGAAUGUCUUGAAGGAUGUUGCUUUGUUUUUUAUUUUGUUUUGCUUUUUUGCAGUAUUGAAAGUAGAAUCCAGUAACUUGCACAUACUAAGCAAGUACUCUACCACUGAGCUCCCCUCCAGACUCUGAAAGGCCUGCUUCUGCUGAGAAAAUCUUUCAUUCUCAACUCCAGAUGCCAGAGUUAAAGCCUCACAGGUUGACAGAGAUGAUCCCUUGGGUUUCCAGAAUUUGGCAGAACAGCUGACGCACUGAUCCUGUCAAUCUCUACUCUCACAGUGAAUCAUUUACAUCUGAGAAGCCCUUGCCUUGACCUUAUAAAAUCAGUAUGUUUCAAUAAUUCUGAAUCAUCUCAAAAAUGGAAUAAUUAGCUUUUAAAUUAAAAAAUCCAAAUAAACAAGUGGUUAGAGAGCACAUCAAAAGUAUUUAAAUAAUAAGUCCUAGCCAAGAAGAUGUAAUCUAUUAUUGUCUUCCCUUGGAUCAAAGAAUACCUACUACCAGAAUGAAGGACUGUGUCCCAAAAGCAGAUUAAAGUUUUUAUCUUCUGCAGACUGAAAAUUGCUGAUAACUUCUAAAAGACAAGAAACAAAACCACAGCUGUUAAACGUCCUGUUGUUACAUGGUGACCAACAAUGCACAUCUGCACACCACGUACAGUCCUUGCUGGUGUUGCAGUUCAUCUGCCCCUCUUACUGCACCUCCUCUACUCUCUGAGCCUGCUACAGUCCUUCAGUUCACUUAGCAAUCUGUAGGAGUCUUGUCGCAAACACCAAAUACUUAUUAAGAGUGGAGGAACCAUUGCUAUUUAUAUGGUGUGUAGUGGGGGCUUCAAUUAUCAUCCCUCCCCUGUAUCCAUUCUCCCAUUUUGUGAACAAUAACAAAAUCCCCAAUAGUUUUCUGAAUUUCCAUGCCUUCCUUGUAGUUAGAUGUGAACACUGAUGACUUUCUGGCCAAUGGCUUGUGAACAGAUGUGAUGAUGAGUCCACUCACCAAGUUGUGUCUGUGAAACAAAGGGGGGUACCUCUUUGUCCCUUCUCUUUCCAUGGGAAAAGAAGCUUGGAAGGAGGGAGUCCCCUAGGGAAACCAAGCAGCAAAAUCAAGAAAAUCUGGAUUUCUGACUCCUUUACCCAGGGGCAGAAGUUCCCAGAUGUUCGCAUUUCACAGUGCAGAGUCUGUAAUGUAAUUUUUCUCAUUGUUUUUGGGUCAAAGUAAUGCAUAAAAAUUCUGUUUUUUAAGUAGUUGUAUUUAAACAAUUUAAUAUGUAUUUCUACCAUAAUGAC
ensembl:lncRNA